GUACUUGCAUCAGCAGCAUAUAUACUAAAAUUGGAAUGAUACAGAGAAGAUUAGCAUGGCCCCUGUGCAAAGAUGACACGCAAAUUCGUGAAGCAUUCCAUAUUCUU
ensembl:snRNA U6 U6 spliceosomal RNA